rnacentral:rRNA from 1 species
UACGGAGGGUGCAAGCGUUGCUCGGAAUUACUGGGCGUAAAGCGCGUGUAGGCUGCUCGGAAAGUCGGAUGUGAAAGCCCUGGGCUCAACCUAGGAAGUGCAUUCGAAACUUCCGAGCUGGAGUGCUGGAGAGGAAGGCGGAAUUCUCGGUGUAGAGGUGAAAUUCGUAGAUAUCGAGAGGAACACCGGUGGCGAAGGCGGCCUUCUGGACAGCGACUGACGCUGAGACGCGAAAGCGUGGGGAGCAAACAGG